GGUUGACCUCGGAUCAGGUAGGAAGACCCGCUGAACUUAAGCAUAUCAAUAAGCGGAGGAAAAGAAACCAACAGGGAUUGCCCUAGUAACGGCGAGUGAAGCGGCAACAGCUCAAAUUUGAAAUCUGGCUUCGGCCCGAGUUGUAAUUUGUAGAGGAUGCUUUGGGCGCGGCUCUAACUGAGUUCCCUGGAACGGGACGCCACAGAGGGUGAGAGCCCCGUAUAGUUAGAUGCCUAGCCUAUGUAAAGCUCCUUCGACGAGUCGAGUAGUUUGGGAAUGCUGCUCUAAAUGGGAGGUAAAUUUCUUCUAAAGCUAAAUAUUGGCCAGAGACCGAUAGCGCACAAGUAGAGUGAUCGAAAGAUGAAAAGCACUUUGAAAAGAGGGUUAAAUAGCACGUGAAAUUGUUGAAAGGGAAGCGCUUGUGACCAGACUUGCGCCGGGCAGAUCAUCCGGUGUUCUCACCGGUGCACUCUGCCCGGCUCAGGCCAGCAUCGGUUCUCGUGGGGGGAUAAAGGUCCCGGGAACGUAGCUCCUCCGGGAGUGUUAUAGCCCGGGGCGUAAUGCCCUCGUGGGGACCGAGGUUCGCGCAUCUGCAAGGAUGCUGGCGUAAUGGUCAUCAGCGACCCGUCUUGAAACACGGACCAAGGAGUCAAGGUUUUGCGCGAGUGUUUGGGUGUAAAACCCGCACGCGUAAUGAAAGUGAACGUAGGUGAGAGCUUCGGCGCAUCAUCGACCGAUCCUGAUGUAUUCGGAUGGAUUUGAGUAAGAGCGUUAAGCCUUGGACCCGAAAGAUGGUGAACUAUGCUUGGAUAGGGUGAAGCCAGAGGAAACUCUGGUGGAGGCUCGCAGCGGUUCUGACGUGCAAAUCGAUCGUCAAAUCUGAGCAUGGGGGCGAAAGACUAAUCGUGC
rnacentral:rRNA from 1 species